CAGUAGCCGCGGUAAUACGAAGGGGGCUAGCGUUGUUCGGAUUUACUGGGCGUAAAGCGCACGUAGGCGGAUUGGUCAGUUAGGGGUGAAAUCCUGGAGCUCAACUCCAGAACUGCCUUUAAUACUGCCAGUCUCGAGUCCGGAAGAGGUAAGUGGAACUCCUAGUGUAGAGGUGGAAUUCGUAGAUAUUAGGAAGAACACCAGUGGCGAAGGCGGCUUACUGGUCCGGUACUGACGCUGAGGUGCGAAAGCGUGGGGAGCAAACAGGAUUAGAUACCCGUGUAGUCCCUGUCUCUUAUAC
rnacentral:rRNA from 1 species